CACCAUCUCUGUGCGGCCGGCUGCUCCCCUGCGCCUGCCGCCAUUUUUCCCGCCUGCGAGGGUGGGCCGAUCGCUCUUUGGGCCUCGGGCUCCAGGGUGCCGGUGACCAGGGCUGGAAGAUGAAUGGGAGGGCUGAUUUUCGAGAGCCGAAUGCAGAAGUUCCAAGACCAAUUCCCCACAUAGGGGCUGAUUACAUUCCAACGGAGGAAGAAAGAAGAGUCUUUGCAGAGUGCAAUGAUGAAAGCUUCUGGUUCAGAUCUGUACCUUUGGCUGCAACAAGUAUGUUGAUUACUCAAGGAUUGAUUAGUAAAGGAAUCCUUUCAAGUCAUCCCAAAUAUGGUUCCAUUCCUAAACUUAUAUUUGCUUGCAUCAUGGGAUACUUUGCUGGAAAGCUUUCUUAUGUGAAAACUUGCCAGGAGAAGUUCAAGAAUCUUGAGAAUUCCCCUCUGGGAGAAGCUUUACGAUCAGGACAGGCACGACGAUCUUCACCAACUGGGCAUUAUUCUCAGAGGUCAAAAUAUGACUCAAAUAUGAGUGGUCAUUCAUCUUUUGUAACAUCCCCAGCAGCAGACAACUUAGAAAAAGAGAUGCUUCCUCAUUAUGAGCCAAUUCCAUUCAGUGCUUCUUUGAAUGAAUCUACUCCAACUGGUAUUACUGAUCAUAUUGCCCAAGGUAGAAACUUCUCUUGAAAUGAAUUUCAGCUUUUAUGGUCCAACGUAUGUAUAAACUUUAUUUGAUGACCUUUUUUGCUGGAUAUCACUUCUGUAUUCCACCAUCAGCCUAAACUCAGCAUGUUUGUUUGCUCAUCUGUUCAUUUGAAUUCAUUCUUCAUUCAUUCAACACUUUUUGAGGUCCAGUAGGUAUCAGGUACUCUACUAGGUAUGAAAGUAAAGAUGAAUAAGAGCUGGCUGUUUGCCCUGAAAAACUCUCUCAGUCUGCUGGAAGAUAUAGAAAAAUAAGAAUAAAUUAUUAAUAUGCUCCAUUAAUUCAAAAUGCUAACCAUGUUUAGUGAAAUAGCAAAGACGAAAUGAUAAAUGGUCCUUGAAAGAGUCUUUAAAAGAUUUCAUUUAUUACUGUGGUCUUAAAGGCUCUCUUAGCUUCUUUGUAAUGUGAGAAAAAUUGCCUGCUUUACAGAACUGUUGUCAAGUGAGAAAAUCCAUGUGAAAGUGCUUUGUGAAGUUUGUGUGACUAUUAGCUUUGAAGAUCAUGUGAUGACCUGAUCCCAACACUGAAGAAAGUCCUAAAAGAAAAAAUAUUACAUAUGAGGAAUUAAGGAAUAAGAACAGAGAGUCAUAUGAAGUUACUUUAACACAUAAGACUGACCCCUCAGUCAGGCCUAUGCAGGAAAGAAUGCCAAAAAAAGAAGGUAUGAUAGUCUAGUCUGAAUCACUUUACUUUUUAGGAUUGGAAACUGCAGCACUAGUUUAAUUAUACUAACGUGUGAUUUAAUGCCUC